AUGAGUGACUUGGCUACUGCUCUGGAUGCGCAGGGCCACUUUGAUGAUGCCUACAUUUAUAUGCAGAGGGCGUCAGAUCUGGCAAGGGAGAUAAAUCACCCUGAGCUGCACAUGGUGCUCAGCAAUCUGGCUGCCAUCUUGAUACACAGAGUCUCUGUAUUUACAGCUGUGAAGUGUGAAACCAAUUAGAUUGUCCGACGACUGUAUCACUGCCUCAGAGUAUAUAAAUACAAGAUACAUGGAUGAAUGCUUUUA
rnacentral:lncRNA from 1 species